rnacentral:rRNA from 1 species
CUAGAAUAAAGUAGUUAUAUUCUUCAUAACUCAAAGAAUUUGGCGGCUAAUUUUAAUCAGAGGAACCUGUAUAUUAAUUGAUAAACCACGAUAGUUUAUACCUUUUAUUUAUUUAUAUAUCUCUAUGUUAUGAAUGUUUUAUAAGAAUUAAUUUUCUUUUAGAUUUAUCAUUAAUUUUAGGUCAAGGUGUAGUUUUUAAAAGUGUUUAUAUGGGUUACUUUAGUUUAAAUUUAAAUUUUUUGUAAGAAAUAUUUUUUUAUAAUUUUUAGGAUUUGAUAGUAAUUUUAAUUAAUUAAUUAAUGUGAAAUUA